CCAUCUCUACUGCCACAUCCCACGUCUCUCUCUCUAUCUUAUUUUUUUUUUCCCAAUUCUCCAUCUCCGUCGCCUCUCUCCGAUUCACUCCACGCUGCCACGCAGCCGCUGCUGUUCACCAGCCGUCGCCGGGAGGACGCUGCUUCUGUCGCCGUUGCUCGCUGCUGGUGGCCGUCGUCCAGCCACUAGUCAGCCGCUGCUGCUGCCACUGCACAGAGCCAGGUGCUGAUCGCUGCUGUUCCGUUGGUGGUCGUGCAGCACCAAAACGUCACCACAGCCCCCCGAUUCGUCCCGAAACUCACCCGAAAAGCCCCGCACAACCCCGGAACAGCCCCGAAAGCUAAGUUUCUUUUACAAUUAUGUUAUUUCGAUCACUCACAGUGAGAGUUCCAUUAUUGAUGUCCGAUGGGUGUGUUCGAUUGAUUGCGUUAUUGAUUGAGUUACUUGUCGAUUUAAUUCCGAGUUAACGGUGAUGAUAUGUGUUUGAAGGCUGUAUUUUUAUUCAUGUAGUUCGAUUCUUACAGUAGAGGAAAGGGCUGUCUAAAAUACACAAUAUGAUACACAAGAAAUCUUCUAUACAUGGUAUGGAUGGAUUUCUGCCCUGUUUUGGUCAGAGGUUUGAGGAAGGUAUUGGACUAUGAUGAAUCAGUUUCUGAGUCCAUCAAUUUGGAUCGAAAAGCAUGCUCUGAUGCCAUGUUUGAAGGCUGUAUUUUUAUUCAUGUAGUUCGAUUCUUACAGUAGAGGAAAGGGCUGUCUAAAUACACAAUAUGAUACACAAGAAAUCUUCUAUACAUGAAUUGAAGAGGGAAGAUGAAAGGUGGAAGGUCAUGGCUGAUUGGGAGUCUAAAGAGUUGGCGUUUGGGAAGGAGAGGAAAGAUCUUGGGCUUGCAAAGAUGUUCUAUGAAGAAUUUUGGGCUCAAUAUGUUAUUUAUAGAAUUUGGCCCAACUUUGUUAAAGAAUAAGAAAAUUUAGAUGGCCCAACACUCAAAAAAAUUAACAAGGACAUUUGGACUUGUAAAAUAAUAAAUUUAAUAGGUCCAAACAUGUAUAUUCCUUUUUUUCAAUAAGGAAACAAAGAUGAAAAUUUUGCAGGUGUACAAACGACGUCCUUUCAAGAAUAAGUAAAAAGGUAGAAAAAGUCGGGGUGUUACACCCCAUCAUCCGCAUAACAGAG